AGGCAGCAGUGGGGAAUUUUGGACAAUGGGCGCAAGCCUGAUCCAGCAAUGCCGCGUGAGUGAAGAAGGCCUUCGGGUUGUAAAGCUCUUUUGUCAGGGAAGAAACGGUGGGAGCUAAUAUCUCUCACUAAUGACGGUACCUGAAGAAUAAGCACCGGCUAACUACGUGCCAGCAGCCGCGGUAAUACGUAGGGUGCAAGCGUUAAUCGGAAUUACUGGGCGUAAAGCGUGCGCAGGCGGUUUUGUAAGUCUGAUGUGAAAUCCCCGGGCUCAACCUGGGAAUUGCAUUGGAGACUGCAAGGCUAGAAUCUGGCAGAGGGGGGUAGAAUUCCACGUGUAGCAGUGAAAUGCGUAGAUAUGUGGAGGAACACCGAUGGCGAAGGCAGCCCCCUGGGUCAAGAUUGACGCUCAUGCACGAAAGCGUGGGGAGCAAACAGGAUUAGACACCCUGGUAGUCCACGCCCUAAACGAUGUCUACUAGUUGUCGGGUCUUAAUUGACUUGGUAACGCAGCUAACGCGUGAAGUAGACCGCCUGGGGAGUACGGUCGCAAGAUUAAAACUCAAAGGAAUUGACGGGGACCCGCACAAGCGGUGGAUGAUGUGGAUUAAUUCGAUGCAACGCGAAAAACCUUACCUACCCUUGACAUGGCUGGAAUCCUUGAGAGAUCAGGGAGUGCUCGAAAGAGAACCAGUACACAGGUGCUGCAUGGCUGUCGUCAGCUCGUGUCGUGAGAUGUUGGGUUAAGUCCCGCAACGAGCGCAACCC
rnacentral:rRNA from 1 species